rnacentral:rRNA from 1 species
CGGGAGGGGAGUGAAAAGAAUCUGAAACUGUAUGCUUACAAAAAGUCAGAGGGCGUUAAAGCCUGAUGACGUGCCUAUUGAAGAAUGAGCCGGCGAGUUAUGUUAUCGUGCGAGGUUAAGUCGAAGAGACGGAGCCGAAGCGAAAGCGAGUCUAAAGAGGGCUACAGUACGAUGACAUAGACCCGAAACCCGACGAUCUAGCCAUGAGCAGGAUGAAGGUGGGGUACAACCCACUGGAGGUCCGAACCGACGUUCGUUGAAACGCCCGCGGAUGACUUGUGGCUCGCGGUGAAAUUCCAAUCGAGUUGGGUUAUAGCUGGUUCUCCCCGAAAUAGCUUUAGGGCUAGCCUCAGGGUUAGCUACUUGCUGGUAGAGCACUGAAUGAUAGAUGGCCGCGUCUAGCGGUACUGAUAUCAAUCAAACUCCGAAUAGUGAGAUAGUAUACCUGGGAGUCAGUCUGUGGGAGAUAAGUUCCAUGGACAAGAGGAAAAGAGUCCAGACCGCCAAAUAAGGUCCCAAAAUCUAUACUAAGUGUAAAAGGAUGUAGAGAUGCAUAGACAACUAGGAUGUUGGCUCAGAAGCAGCCAUCAUUUAAAGAGUGCGUAACAGCUCACUAGUCGAGUGCCUCCGCGCCGAAAAUUUACCGGGGCUAAGUAUAGUACCGAAGCUGCGGAUUUGAGAAAAUGGUAGGGGAGCGUUCCAUCAUCGGCGAAGCGAUACCGAAAGGAGUCGUGGAGAGGAUGGAAGUGAGAAUGCCGGUGUAAGUAACGAUAUUGGGUGAGAAUCCCAAUCACCAUUAGACUAAGGUUUCCUGGGGAAGGUUCGUCCGCCCAGGGUAAGUCGGGACCUAAGGCGAGGCUGAGAAGCGUAGUCGAUGGACGACAGGUUGAUAUUCCUGUACCCGUAUAUAAGUGAAGUAAUGACAGAGAAGGCUAGAUCGGCUACCUACUGGAUGGUAGUACAAGCGAGAUAGCAGGUGCAAAGGCAAAUCCGUGCACGAAAUGCAAGGCGUGAAGUGGAGCGAACGAGCAAUCAAGUAGCGAAGCGAUUAAUGCCAGCUUUCAAGAAAAGUUGCUAACAUAAUUAUAUGCGGCCCGUACCGAGAACGGACACACGUGGUCAAGGAGAGUAUCCUAAGGUGAGCGAGUGAACUGUUGUUAAGGAACUCUGCAAAAUUACUUCGUAAGUUCGCAAGAAGAAGUGCUACAGCGAUGUAGCCGCAGUGAAGAGGCCCAAGUAACUGUUUAACAAAAACACAGCUUUAUGCUAAGUCGUAAGACGAUGUAUAUGAGGUGAUGCCUGCCCAGUGCUGGAAGGUUAAAAGGAGAUGUGGUCCGCAAGGAGAAGCAUUGAUCUGAAGCCCCAGUGAACGGCGGCCGUAACUAUAACGGUCCUAAGGUAGCGAAAUUCCUUGUCGGGUAAGUUCCGACGCGCAUGAAUGGUAUAAUAAUUUGGGCGCUGUCUCGACAGCAGACUCGGUGAAAUCUUAAUACCUGUGAACAUGCAGGUUACCCGCGACUAGACGGAAAGACCCCAUGGAGCUUUACUAUAGCUUAAUAUUGAAUAGUUGAAAGUCCUGUACAGGAUAGGUAGGAGACUAAGAAGUUUGUGCGUCAGCAUGAAUGGAGUCAACGGUGGGAUACUACUCUUGAUUUUCGAUUGUUCUAACUUAGGAUCAAAACGGGUCCGAGGACAGUGUUAGGUGGGUAGUUUGACUGGGGCGGUCGCCUCCUAAAGAGUAACGGAGGCGCCCCAAGGUACCCUCAGUAUGGUUGGAAAUCAUACAACGAGUGCAAAGGCAUAAGGGUGC